CAAGGAACACCUCAUUGUCAGUCAGUCCCUCUGGUGAAAUAGUGGAGGGCAGUUCAGUGACUCUGUCCUGCAGCAGUGAUGCCAACCCACCUGUGGACAAAUACACCUGGUACUUUCAAAAUGAGACUUUUCUAAAUGGAUGUGGACAGAUGUACAACAUCAGUAACUUCAAGUCAGUGGACAGUGGACAUUACCACUGUGAGGCCUGGAAUAGAAGAGGAUCUAGGAACUCUACAGCUCUGAUGAUCAUUUUACCAGUGAAACAAACCUCAGUUGUGACUGCAGCUGUAGGAAUCAUAGUGGUUGUUCUGGUUCUCAUCCUCUGUCUCUCUGGACUCAUGUGGUUCAGGAGAUACACAGGAGGAAGUGAUGCCACAACAGACACACAGGUGAU